rnacentral:rRNA from 1 species
AGAUUGAACGCUGGCGGCAGGCCUAACACAUGCAAGUCGAGCGGAUGAAGAGAGCUUGCUCUCUGAUUCAGCGGCGGACGGGUGAGUAAUGCCUAGGAAUCUGCCUGGUAGUGGGGGACAACGUUUCGAAAGGAACGCUAAUACCGCAUACGUCCUACGGGAGAAAGCGAGGGUACCUUCGGGCCUUGCGCUAUCAGAUGAGCCUAGGUCGAUUAGCUAGUUGGUGAGGUAAUGGCUCACCAAGGCGACGAUCCGUAACUGGUCUGAGA